UACAGAGGUGGCAAGCGUUGUUCGGAAUUACUGGGCGUAAAGGGCGCGUAGGCGGCUUGGUCAGUCCCGUGUGAAAUCCCUCGGCUCAACUGAGGAACUGCACGGGAAACUGCCUGGCUUGAGUUCGGGAGAGGGAUGCAGAAUUCCAGGUGUAGCGGUGAAAUGCGUAGAUAUCUGGAGGAACACCGGUGGCGAAGGCGGCAUCCUGGACCGGUAUUGACACUGAGGCGCGAAAGCCAGGGGAGCAAACGGG
rnacentral:rRNA from 1 species